rnacentral:rRNA from 1 species
CCUACGGGAGGCAGCAGUGGGGAAUAUUGCACAAUGGCGGAAACCCUGAUGCAGCGACGCCGCGUGAGUGAAGAAGUAAUUCGUUAUGUAAAGCUCUAUCAGCAGGGAAGAAAAUGACGUUACCUGAGUAAGAAGCCCCGGCUAACUACGGGCCAGCAGCCGCGGUAAGACGUAGGGGGCAAGCUUUAUCCGGAUUUACUGGGUGUAAAGGGAGCGUAGAGGGCAGUGCAAGUCUGGAGUGAAAGGCGGGGGCUCAACCCCCGGUCUGCUCUGGAAACUGUACGGCUGGAGUGCAGGAGAGGUAAGUGGAAUGCGUAGUGUAGCGGUGAAAUGCGUAGAUAUUAGGAGGAACACCAGUGGCGAAGGCGGCUUACUGGCCUGUAACUGACGUUGAGGCUCGAAAGCGUGGGGAGCAAACAGGAUUAGAUACCCUUGUAGUC